rnacentral:tRNA from 1 species
GUUAAGAUGGCAGAGCCCGGUAAAUGCAAAAGGUCUAAGCCCUUUCAACAGAGGUUCAAGUCCUCUUCCUAACA